UGGCCAUGGAGUACAACAGGGAAUCUAGUAGCAGUCUGGAGUUUUCCUCUAGAAAGUGCUGUGGUCUCAAAAUGCAGUCCUGGGUAUCUGGACACAAUCCCACAAAGGGUGACUGCUAAAAAGAAAAGAUUUCAGGAUUGAGGAACAUAGCUCCUUCUUCUAAUGCACCCUAUGUUGGGAUGGUGGGAUGAAAGCCGAAAUUUUCCAGGUUGGAGUCUUUUGGUGGUUUGUUUGCUUAUCCUGUAUCUGGAGUUGAGAAGAAACCAAGUUUGAGAUUUAGGAUGUGGACAGGAGGUAGGAGUUUUGCCCAUAAAUUACAACAGAGUCUGAACCCAUGGGGACUGCCAAGAAGACAAAGUGGUCACAAUUGGCUUGGGCCCGAAGCCAGGGCCCCUGCAGAGCAGGAGCCCAGUUGGGGCCUCCUCCCAGGGCCAGUGCAGCUCUGCCUGUGCGUGGAUGAUAAGCUCUGGGCUGCUUCCUCUGAAUCAUGAAAACAAACAGACCGGGCCAGGAUGGAAUAAAUGAAGCUGCAGAUGAAAGACAUUUUGAAGACGAACAUGAAUUAGAGGGUUGGAGGGAUCUGAUUUUGACUUUCACAUUCAUCUACCUUCUCCUUUCAGCAGUGGGGCCAAGGCCAAGCCACUGGGACUUCUACAACGGCCUCUGCAGGCAGGAGGCUAGUGAAGACUUAGAGCCUGUAGAGUGGACUCACGCUCAGGAGAGCCAUGAAGCCGGGGCCUCGUCUGCAGCUUUCUUCAUUCACGCUGAGAAAGUUUGUCCUUCCUGCCACCCAUAAUUUUCCUGGAGAACUGAAAAUAACAAAACCAGAGGGAUAUCCACAGAGUCCAUAGGUUCCUAGGUUAGUUCUACACGGUCCCCUUCUCCUCCCAGAAACACAAGAUGUCAGAUUCCUCAAGAUUCCUUUGAGCUCACCCUAAACUGCUCAGGGCAAGAACAUCAGUCUGUUUGUCUCUUGAGACAGUCUCUGGCAUGUUUAUGAAAAGAUCACUGGAGACUCCAGUUUCACAAUCAACAAUGUACCUAAAAAUAGAAAAAAAUCUGUUCCAGGAUAAUUUUGUCUCCGAACAGCAAGAUCAACAAAAGAUGCCUUCAGGGAACAAGUGGUCCUUCACUGAAGUCUAAUGAAGCUCUGAGCUGCCUCUCAGAGCAAGGGGAGGGUGUGGCUACUACACGUCCUCUUCCUCUUCCCAUCAGCUCACACUGACUGGCAGUACGGAUGAAGCCGUGAACAGUAAAUGGUGACUGUGAACCAUUCUGACGCCGUCACCUGGGGCUAGGUGGCACUGUUUAAUGAACCAUCUCUGCGCAAGGCAAGGCCCAGGGUCUAAUUGGUUGGAAAGCUUUGUA
rnacentral:lncRNA from 1 species